GUGCAGCAGGCGAGAAACCUCCGCAAUACACGAAAGUGUGACGGGGCCAUCCCGAGUGCCGUCCGCUGAGGACGGCUUUUCCCCAGUGUACACAGCUGGGGGAAUAAGGAGAGGGCAAGCCUGGUGUCAGCCGCCGCGGUAAUACCAGCUCUCCGAGUGGUGGGGACGCUUAUUGGGCCUAAAGCAUCCGUAGCCGGCUGGGCAAGUCCUCCGUUAAAUCCAACGAUUCAAUCGCUGGGCUGCGGGGGAUACUGUCCAGCUUGGGGGGCGGAGAGGCCGACGGUAUUCCCGGGGUAGGGGUGAAAAUCCUAUAAUCCCGGGAGGACCACCAGUGGCGAAGGCUGUCGGCUAGAACGCGCCCGACGGUGAGGGGAUGAAAGCUGGGGGGAGCGAACCGGAUUAGAUACCCCGGGUAGU
rnacentral:rRNA from 1 species